rnacentral:rRNA from 1 species
CAAUAGCGUAUAUUAAAGUUGUUGCAGUUAAAAAGCUCGUAGUUGAAUUUCGGGUCCCCGCGCUCGGCGCUUCAUUGUGCCGUCGUGGUGUCCCUCCUCGCCGUAAGGCGUCCUUUACUGUGAAAAAAUUAGAGUGUUCAAAGCAGGCAAUCGCUUGAAUACAUUAGCAUGGAAUAAUAAGAUAGGAUCUUGUCUAUUUUGUUGGUUGCGGACAACGAUAAUGAUUAAUAGGGAUAGUUGGGGGUGUCCGUAUUGAGCUGUCAGAGGUGAAAUUCUUGGAUUUGCUCAAGACGAACUACUGCGAAAGCAUUCACCAAGGAUGUUUUCAUUNA